rnacentral:rRNA from 1 species
CCUGCCGAUGACUCGGGGAUAGCCUUUCGAAAGAAAGAUUAAUACCCGAUGGCAUAGUUCUUCCGCAUGGUAGAACUAUUAAAGAAUUUCGGUCAUCGAUGGGGAUGCGUUCCAUUAGGUUGUUGGCGGGGUAACGGCCCACCAAGCCUUCGAUGGAUAGGGGUUCUGAGAGGAAGGUCCCCCACAUUGGAACUGAGACACGGUCCAAACUCCUACGGGAGGCAGCAGUGAGGAAUAUUGGUCAAUGGACGAGAGUCUGAACCAGCCAAGUAGCGUGAAGGAUGACUGCCCUAUGGGUUGUAAACUUCUUUUAUACGGGAAUAAAGUGAGGCACGCGUGCCUUUUUGUAUGUACCGUAUGAAUAAGGAUCGGCUAACUCCGUGCCAGCAGCCGCGGUAAUACGGAGGAUCCGAGCGUUAUCCGGAUUUAUUGGGUUUAAAAGGAGCGUAGGCGGACGCUUAAGUCAGUUGUGAAAGUUUGCGGCUCAACCGUAAAAUUGCAGUUGAUACUGGGUGUCUUGAGUACAGUAGAGGCAGGCGGAAUUCGUGGUGUAGCGGUGAAAUGCUUAGAUAUCACGAAGAACUCCGAUUGCGAAGGCAGCCUGCUGGACUGUAACUGACGCUGAUGCUCGAAAGUGUGGGUAUCAAACAGGAUUAGAUACCCUGGUAGUCCACACAGUAAACGAUGAAUACUCGCUGUUUGCGAUAUACAGUAAGCGGCCAAGCGAAAGCGUUAAGUAUUCCACCUGGGGAGUA